rnacentral:rRNA from 1 species
AUUGAACGCUGGCGGUAGGCCUAACACAUGCAAGUCGAGCGGAUGAAGGGAACUAGCUCCUGGAUACAGCGGCGGAGGGGCGAGUAAUGCCUAGGAAUCUGCCUGGUAGCGUGGGAUAACGGCCGGAAACGGGCGCUAAUACCGCAAACCUCCUUAGGGAGUAAGGGUGGAAUCUUCGGACCUCACGCUAUCACAUGAUCCAAGGUCGGAUUAGCUAGUUGGUGGGGUAAAGGCCUACCAAGGCGACGAUCCGUAACUGGUCUGAGAGGAUGAUCAGUCACACUGGAACUGAGACACGGUCCAGACUCCUACGGGAGGCAGCAGUGGGGAAUAUUGGACAAUGGGCGAAAGCCUGAUCCAGCCAUGCCGCGUGUGUGAAGAAGGUCUUCGGAUUGUAAAGCCCUUUAGGUUGGGAAGAAGAGCAGUAAGUUAAUACCUUGCUGUUUUGACGUUACCAACAGAAUAAGCACCGGCUAACUUCGUG